AUUGAACGCUGGCGGCAGGCCUAACACAUGCAAGUCGAGCGGAUGAAGGGAGCUUGCUCCUGGAUUCAGCGGCGGACGGGUGAGUAAUGCCUAGGAAUCUGCCUGGUAGUGGGGGAUAACGUCCGGAAACGGGCGCUAAUACCGCAUACGUCCUGAGGGAGAAAGUGGGGGAUCUUCGGACCUCACGCUAUCAGAUGAGCCUAGGUCGGAUUAGCUAGUUGGUGGGGUAAAGGCCUACCAAGGCGACGAUCCGUAACUGGUCUGAGAGGAUGAUCAGUCACACUGGAACGGAGACACGGUCCAGACGCCUACGGGAGGCAGCAGUGGGGAAUAUUGGACAAUGGGCGAAAGCCUGAUCCAGCCAUGCCGCGUGUGUGAAGAAGGUCUUCGGAUUGUAAAGCACUUUAAGUUGGGAGGAAGGGCAGUAAGUUAAUACCUUGCUGUUUUGACGUUACCAACAGAAUAAGCACCGGCUAACUUCGUG
rnacentral:rRNA from 1 species